GAUGAAGAACGUAGCGAAGUGCGAUAAGUAAUGCGAAUUGCAGAAUUCAGUGAGUCAUCGAAUCUUUGAACGCACAUUGCGCCCUGUGGUAUUCCGCAGGGCAUGCCUGUUCGAGCGUCAUUUCAACCCUCAAGCUCUGCUUGGUGUUGGGCCCUGCCCGCUGCGGCCGGCCCUAAAGACAGUGGCGGUGCCGCCUGGCCCUGAGCGUAGUACAUCUCUCGCUCCAGUGCCCGGUGGUAGCCUGCCAGAACCCCAACUCUCGUGGUUGACCUCGGAUCAGGUAGGGAUACCCGCUGAACUUAAGCAUAUCAAUAAGCGGAGGA
rnacentral:misc_RNA from 1 species